GAUGAAGAACGCAGCGAAAUGCGAUAAGUAGUGUGAAUUGCAGAAUUCAGUGAAUCAUCGAAUCUUUGAACGCACAUUGCGCCCCUUGGUAUUCCAUGGGGCAUGCCUGUUCGAGCGUCAUUUGUACCUUCAAGCUUUGCUUGGUGUUGGGUGUUUGUCCCUCGGGACUCGCCUUAAAGUCAUUGGCAGCCAGUGUUUUGGUUUUGAAGCGCAGCACAAGUCGCGAUUCAAGGCUACCCGCCCGCUUCCACAAGCCUUUUUCACUUUUGACCUCGGAUCAGGUAGGGAUACCCGCUGAACUUAAGCAUAUCAAUAAGCGGAGGA
rnacentral:misc_RNA from 1 species